rnacentral:rRNA from 1 species
UACGGAGGGUGCAAGCGUUAUCCGGAUUCACUGGGUUUAAAGGGUGCGUAGGUGGGAAUGUAAGUCAGUGGUGAAAUCUCCGUGCUUAACAUGGAAACUGCCAUUGAUACUAUGUUUUCUUGAAUUUUCUUGGAGGUCAGCGGAAUAUGUCAUGUAGCGGUGAAAUGCUUAGAUAUGACAUAGAACACCAAUUGCGAAGGCAGCUGACUACAGGGAUAUUGACACUGAGGCACGAAAGCGUGGGGAUCAAACAGG